AAUAUUUGUAGCAGCUGCUGGCUUUGGCCUAGUCCUGUUCCUGCCUUCUUGGAUUCCAGGUGUCCAGGAAUAAGCCUUGCUACCCAGUAACCCCAUGCCGCAACCUGUGUUGACUGUGCUGUGAAGAGACAGGGAAAACGACACACAUGCACCCUCGCACAUUGCUCUUGCAAUGCUCGCAAGGAAAAAGUGUGUAGGCUUGGCAACUCCCCGCCUACAGGCCCCGCUGUUGAGCAAGAUGUCAAGGAGAGGACCUAGUUUUGAUCCAAACCACAAGGAGGAAAAGAAAACUACUACAGUACUUAACCCCCACCCCCCUCCCCUCCAGAAGAGCAUGCAGGCAGUGAGUGCUGUUCACAUGCACCGCAGCUUGCACCAAUCUCCUUGCAGCUGAUCAUCUGCCCGCCAAUCCGGACAACUUCCCAUCCCAGGAGCAUGAGAUCAGACAUAAUAACUGUAUCUAGCAGAAAGGGAGGGGGAGGAAUUCUGACUCAUAGAGAGGCUGAAUCUGGCCCUUACCUUACCACUUAUUUGGGUGGCAUCCUAGCCUGGUGCGGUGGGCUGGGUGCUGAAUUUGAAGUCAAGAGACCUGCUUUCUAAUCUCAGGCUGUUCUGGGCAAAUGACUAUCCCCAUCUGUGAAAUGGAUGAGUCUAACCCUUAGAGGUAAAGCUGCUAUAUAUGAGCGAAGAAAGGUGUUAUGAAUGCAUCAUGCCACCCCGUAUCUUGCUUGCCUCUGGUUUCACCUCUCCCGCUGGGCAUCGUUGCAUUGUGUCAAUACCUCGCUGAUGUCCUGUGAUAGGAAAGAUGCUGUCUCCUGCUAGGAGUCCAGGACCACGACAAAACCCAUCACGUGGGUGGAAAACUGCCCUCCUUACAUGUGAGCCUCGAGCAUAAAGACAAUGCACUUGCCUUUUACCCAAAUUGGCUUCGGGCCGGGGCGAUACAGCAAAACAUCUAAUAUUAACUACUGUCCCGGCAUGCAGCAUUAGGUCUUCUACCGCGUUUCAAUCCCUGGCUGGGGAGUGAGCCGCUGUUCGCUAAAAGCAGACGGAGCUGCUUGAGAAUGACCUUGCACAGUUGUCUAGCUGGCAAAACCUGGGGGAUUAGUGAUGGGCAUUAGAGGUUCCUGGACGUAUUUAAUUUGCCUUUUUAAAAAUUAUUUUGUUCAAAUGAAGCUAAAAUUAAGACUUGAGCAGGUUCAUUGCUAAAUCAGUGCUAAAGGUUAGAAGGGAUAAUGGGGUGUGUGUGUGUGUGUGUGUGUAUUACAACCCCUCCCUCCCCCAAU